GUGGGGAAUAUUGGGCAAUGGGCGAAAGCCUGACCCAGCAACGCCGCGUGAGGGAAGAAGGUCUUCGGAUUGUAAACCUUUGUCCUAUGGGACGAAACAAAUGACGGUACCAUAGGAGGAAGCUCCGGCUAACUACGUGCCAGCAGCCGCGGUAAUACGUAGGGAGCAAGCGUUGUCCGGAAUUACUGGGCGUAAAGGGUGCGUAGGUGGCCAUGUAAGUUAGGUGUGAAAGACCGGGGCUUAACCCCGGGGCGGCACUUAAAACUGUGUGGCUUGAGUACAGGAGAGGGAAGUGGAAUUCCUAGUGUAGCGGUGAAAUGCGUAGAUAUUAGGAGGAACACCAGUGGCGAAGGCGACUUUCUGGACUGUAACUGACACUGAGGCACGAAAGCGUGGGGAGCAAACAGGA
rnacentral:rRNA from 1 species